AUGGUUUCUUCGGGCAAGAGAACUAAGGAAGAUGGUGCAUCCGCGGGUGCGGCGGAAACGGAUCUAGCGGCAAUGAUGGAAGAAUUGGGUCUGAAGGAAGACGAUCUGCAGGACGUAGUGGUGGAGGAGGAUGAACUUCCAGCUGAAGCAACCCGCUGGAUGGCUCUGGCUAGGGUUCAUACGGAGAAAUCUUACAGCCAGUAUUGGUUCUACAGGAACAUGCGGGUCGCAUGGGAUCUGGCGAAGGAAGUUAAAAUCAGACCUCUGGAGGAUAACUUGUAUACGUUACAGUUCGCGUGCCUUGGCGAUUGGGAGCGUGUAAUGGAGGAGGGUCCGUGGACUUUCAAGGGCAAAGCGGUGAUCUUGGCACCCUAUGAUGGUUUCACUAAACCCUCCUUGAUCGAUCUCACCAAACUGGACAUAUGGAUGCAGAUCCACGACCUUCCGGAUGGUUUCUUCCCUAAGAUCAAAGCGCUCUCGGCGACGGUUGGAGAGUUCAUUUACGCUGAGCCGAAGUCCCAAGAUUUUGAGGGGGACUUUGCACGGGUGAGGGUGAAGAUUGAUGUAACAAAGCCACUAAAGAAUGCAGUUUCUCUGGUUAUCAAGAAGAAGGAUGUGAUGCAGCGAGUGAUCUUCCAGGUGAAAUUCGAGAGGCUCCCGGAUUGGUGUGCGGUAUGUGGUUAUCUGGGGCAUCUGUCUAAGGAAUGUGGUGACGGUGUUUGGGCACCAAAAGCACUAGUUUUUAAGGAUCUGAAAGCUAGCUGGAUUAGAGGCCCGGGCAGCGGUCUUGGUUAA
rnacentral:rRNA from 1 species